UGAACGCUAGCGGCAGGCUUAAUACAUGCAAGUCGAGGGGUAACAGGGAAGUUCGCUUCCGCUGACGACCGGCGCACGGGUGCGUAACGCGUUUGCAACCUAACUUUAACUGGGGAAUAGCCCCGAGAAAUCGGGAUCAAUACCUCAUAACAUUUAUCAUUCGCAUGUUUGAUAAAUUAAAGUUUCGACGGUUAAAGAUGGGCAUGCGUGACAUUAGUUAGUUGGUGAGGUAACGGCUCACCAAGACCACGAUGUCUAGGGGUUCUGAGAGGAUUUUCCCCCACACUGGUACUGAGACAGGACCAGACUGCUACGGGAGGCAGCAGUAAGGAAUAUUGGGCAAUGGACGAAAGUCUGACCCAGCCAUGCCGCGUGCAGGAUGACUGCCCUACGGGUUGUAAACUGCUUUUGUAUAGGAAGAAACCUUUGGACGUGUCCGAAGCUGACGGUACUAUACGAAUAAGCACCGGCUAACUCC
rnacentral:rRNA from 1 species